GUCUUAAAGAAUGUUAAUUUUAAGUCUAAUCUGCCCACUGAAAUAAUUUAAAUGGCUGCAAUAUUUUAAUUGCACUAAGGUAGCAUAAUAAUUUGUUUUUUAAUUGAAAACUAGAAUGAAAGAUUAAAUGAAAUAAAAACUGUUUCUAUUAAAAUUUAAUUAAAUUUAUUAUUUAAGUAAAAAAACUUAAAUUUUAUAUAAAGACGAUAAGACCCUAUAGAAUUUUAUUUAUUUAAUAUAAAUAUUUUUAUUUUAUAAAUUUAAUUGGGGUAAUUAAAAAAUUUAUUAAAUUUUUUUUAAAAAACACAUAAAUAAAUGAAUUUUAUAUCUUAAUUUUUAAAUUAAAAAAAUUAAUUACCUUAGGGAUAACAGCAUAAUUUUUUUUGAUAGUUCUUAUAGAUAAAAAAGAUUAU
rnacentral:rRNA from 1 species